CGGGUGGCCGUUAGCUGCGCGGAGCCGAGCGUUCUCGUUCGCUCCGGGCUGCCCGCAAGCCUCUCUCUUACAAAGGUCUUCUGGAGGACUUCUUAGCCUAUGAACUUUCAAGCAGUAUGAACAGUGAGGAUUGCACAAUUACCAAAUAUCCAUACAAGGCAUAGCAAGAGGCUCAUACAGCUAUCACUCCAUUUAGAGCAACAAAAUGAAGAGGAACAGCUUUUCCUGCUCGUAUGGAACAUGGCUGGGUAAGAUGGUGGCGAGAGAACAGUGGAAGAAGCGAGGACAGAACCUCUACAGAUGGACAAAGUGACAAAGUAAGGACGAUAUCAUGGAACUGCUGCCAGCUUUUGGAAUGAAGCUUGUGCCAAACUCUUUGUGUAGUUGCUGAUUUUUACAUGAUGGAUGUGGAAACACCUGGUUUUACCAGAGGUGGCUUUGCUGAAGAUGCCUUGCAGGACUGCAGAAGGGGAAUCCUCGCUCUUCUUCAGCUCCAGUCUAUCACGUCUGGUACAGCUGAAACCAUACCAAAGGAAAGACACGUCCAGCACCCUGUCUUGGGAGGAGGCUGAUGGGCGGCAUGGUCAUGAAAUGGUUGCUGGCAGACCCCUGUGCUUGUGAACACUACGGCUCUGAACACAUGGAUGUCACAUCUUGGCUACUUCUGGGAGGUCCCAAAGUCUUCAGGUACUACAGCACUUCUGCUGAUUUUGAGGAAGUUCAAAAGCCCCCUGAGCCCAGGGCUGCGUGCUACACCAAAGUGUUCAAUCCUGCAUUUGAAUAAGCUGAAUCAAGCCAGCCAUACUGCUAAACAUAUGCAGGGAGACUUCCUACAUAAAUGAACAUUGCCCUGAAGCACUCGCAGUCCAGUUGUUACUGUCUUGUGUUAAUGGAGAAGGACCCCAAAGUGAAUGGAGUAUAAGUGGUGGAACUGAGCUCUGCUGCUGUUGAAGCACAGCCCAGCCAGGUUACCUAUUGAGGGCUCUGCCUGCCCUUACCCUUAACCACCUGCUGUGAAUCAGCUGGUGCACUCAGGGGCAGAGGUGCGAUGGUGUGAAUGUGAAGGAAAAACUCCACGUCCCUGAAGGGGAACCAAGCCACGGAGCUAGCUGGGACCGGAGGAGUCUGGGAAGCGCGGUUCAUCACAAGAGCUUGCUGGAGAGCAGGAAGGCAUUAACAUGUAAGUGCUACUCUUAAGUGGCCAGAAUAUAGCGAUUAAAGUGCUCUUGCUGUGUGAUCUUGGGCUUCUUGCUCUUUCUGUUCCUUAAUUAAUUUCCUCUUUCAUUUCUGUAUUAAUAAAAACAAAUCACCUGCUUCCUGGGAGGCGGGGGGUUUUAUUCAUUCAUGUUUGCAAACAGCUUGGAGAACUGAGGAAGGGAGGAAGAGGCUGCAGAACUGUGAAGCCUGUAUGCAGUGCGUGAAAGAUAUAUGACAAGAUUUUAUUCCUGGGCAGUCUGAUAAAUUGACAUGUUUGUAAGGCUUUUUCCUUUUUUUGCCUUAUUUCUUUUUCUGACACUGUCAAAUAAGACACAACUUUUGUCUUCAGUGUGAUAUGUAGAUGAAUGGCUACACUUCAAUUUUGGAUCAGUCAGUACCUUUGUUUCAGGCUUCUUUCUUACAUGGGUGUUUAUGAGGAAGAACACUGGUCAGUGACCGCAGCGUUGUCUGUCAGCAGGUCAUACGUUUAAAACUGUGCUGCAAUUAAAAAUUGUUCCAUUAUUCCAUUUUUAUGGAACAAACAUGGAUUUAUUUCUUGGAGUGAAGUUCUGCGUUCUUCUGUUUCCAGUAAGAUAGCUGCUGCAGAGCUUAUCCUGCAUGAGACCAAGAUGUACAGAUAGGGAGUUUCCUGAUAGAUAUGUAGAGUCAGUUGACCACUGCAAUCAGAAAUCAUAUGUUGCACUCAAAUUCUUAUUUUUAAUGUGAAAAUGUAUUUUUAACUAUGUAGAAAAUAUAUAUAAAAUGUAUUUUUUACAUGUUUUUAACUAUGAAAAUGAACUUGAUCAAGAUCUUGCAGCCUAGAGAGCUAACAGGCAGCAACUGGCCAGAUGCUUCCUAUGCGUUGUCUGAAGUUUUGUCUGGUAUUCAGUGAAGGCUGACACACACACUUGAGAGGAAGACAUCUGCUAUCAGUGGAUAGCACUGACAUCUUCUCUCCUGGUGAGUAAUGCAAACAAAAAUGACAUUCCUUCCUCCCUGUACAAACCAGUCCCAGGAUGGAAGCAACACUAAAAGCCAGCAUCUCUCCUCUUGUAAUGUCUAAUAGCAAUGUCUAAUUCUGGAUGUUCAAAGCUAUUUCCCUUAAGGUUACCCUGUGAUGUGGAACAUGUUUUGCACAGGCGAUGCUAUACGAGAGCAGCUCGGCACACUUCAGUAUGCGGCGAGUUCCUUGGUCAGGGUUCCCCUUGGAGUUCCUCAGCAGGCUUUAAGGAUGUGUCAUCCUUUGAGUCAUCUAUUACCUUUAAAGCAGCAUUCCUCAUUGAAAGCUGUUUUGUUUUCAACUCUUAAAACUUUACACGGAGCACUGCAUUUCACAGUCCUGUGAUACACACUCUGAAGGGGGAGUGGGGCUGAGGCAAGAAGAUGAGAGCUGCCUUUGGGACUGCAUGGGUCUGUCUAUGGUGUGCAGGUUCACACCUUGUCUGUGGUAUGCCCUUUUCAUCAGCAAAUUUUUCUAUGUCCUUCCCCAGUUUGCUUCUCCCAAGGAUUUUUAGAUGCAGUCGCUGCCCUCUCAGACAAAUGGGAGCUUAAAUUACUCCUGGGUGUUUGCAGUUUGCCUCUUUUAAAUCCCUCUUCUGAUGAUCCCAUUUCCCACCUUGGACUGAAGCUCCGUGUCCUGAUCUUCUGUCCCUCUUGUGUACUGGGGCUUUGUGUUUCCCUCGUGCUUCACCUGGGCUCCCCGUGGGGUGGAAACCUUCAAGAGGGCAGGGAGAUGAGGAACCAUCUGCCUUCACAGGAUGGCAGCUCAUUCUGGGGGAGAUUUCCAUGUUGUUUCCUCAGCAGCUGCCAUUGAAAUCUUGAUGGAGGCUGCCAGGACCAAGUCCCUGGGUAUCCCAAAGUGGUGGGGCCAUCAGAGCCCAGGUCUGGUGAAUGCUUUGUGUAAAGACCCCCUGCUGAUAAGGCCAUCCAUACAGUUCCAGAAAUUCUGAGCUAAUUGCACAAGAGGUGAAGCUCCUGUAUGGCAAUGAUCGAUUUGGCUUCAAGCCCUGCGGAGCAGACAGCAGCUGAUGAAAACCAAAGCCCAGGCAUGUGAUUGCAGAUCCUUAAUCCAGCUAAAAUACCAUGAUGCUUGACCUCAUUAGAAAAAAGGCCACGAAACAUCUCUCUCUGGGUUGUUCCUUGCUGUGUCCAGUGAUAUACUGGGAGUUUGGCCAAGUAUUCCUCUCUCUCUGGUGAAAGGCUGUGCUUUCCUCUCUGCCUUGGAAAUACUCAGACUCAGAAUGAACUCCAGGACUGACUAUUUGAGGUCUCUGUAUUGAUAACUUGCAUUAAAAUUCAUCUAUGGGGAGGUGAGAAAAUGCCAUCAUUUCCAUAUGUGUGGCUUAAUUUUCUGUACUGGUUGCCUGCACCCUGUGGGUAGUGGAUGAAGUGGUCCUACAGGGUGACUUGGUUUUUACAGAGAGUUCUCUGUAUCCCAGCACUCUUCUUUCUCUUGCCCUUCUCAGUUCAGCACAGGUCCCAGCAGAGCAGAGUAAUCUUGCCUUUCAUAGCUGCACUGCAGGCAGGGGACGGGGUAAAGGGGGUUUGGUUGGCAUUUGCAGACUAGAGAUGACUGAUAUUUCCCUGUAGCUGGUAAUACUGCCUCUUGAUUCACCAAGGAGCAUUAGAGCAGCUUGGUGAAAACCAGCCGAGCGUCAUCAGUGAUUUGUUGUGGUCAUUAGCACAGCAUGCAGUCCUGCAGCCGUGGGCUCCUGAUGGAAUGCAGCAUUGUGGGGUGCUGCCUGUAGGGAUCUGGGGCUGCCUGAGGCACCCACCUGCAGUGGCUCUGUCUGCACCGAUCACUGUUAAAUGUCAAUAAGAGCCUAUGAGGGAGAGACCAGAGGAAAUGGAAAUGGCAGCUCAGUGGGCAGUGACAGAUAGCGCGCUGGGGCACACUGGAGAAUGACUGAUUUAUUUAGGGCUCAGUUCAGUAAAGAUUCAGUGGGAUGGAGCUUUGGCUUAGCGUGGGAUGGGGGAGAUGCUAGGAAUCCAGUACUCCAAGCCUUUCCCAGCACAGCACUUUGGCAUUUAAUUAUUCCCUUGUAUAGUAUCAGGGCUAGCCCCUUUGCCUCGCUACCAAGCUCAGGUGCUGUGAGAUUUUCAGGUGCUGCAGCAACACAGAGGGGAGUUUGGGACACGGGGUUUGGGGGUUCUGGACUCAACCCAACCUCAUGGUAGUGAUGCUGGGGAGAUGCAAGCCUGCAAGUGUAAGCUCUGCUUACUUUUCCAACUUUUGCUGGCAGCAGCAGGGGUGGGGUGGUGCUGGGGCAAUCUGACCUAGGGCCUGUACCUCAUUACUAAUCUUGGGAACCUCUCUUGCCCCACCGCUAAUCGAGACAGUAAGACGCAAGCCGACCACACCCUGCAAACCUCUGCUGUGAUGUAGCCCAAACUCCAUGCCUAACCUUUGCUAUGCAUCUUCUGCAUCCAGAAUGCAUGUCUGCUGUGGUCCAACAUGGUGAGCUGGAUGUGGCCAGUGAGCAGCCAGCAUGUGGGAACCGCAGCCCAGCAGGUGUGUAGGUACUGCAUAGCCCUGUGGGGAAGAGCGGGGCUGGGACACAGAGGGGACAUGCUCAGCCUCCAUCCGUCUGUGUGCAGAUGGUUUUCUUCUGCUCUGUUCUUUUCUGAGCAGCAAACUGGCAGAGAGCAGGGGCUGAGCAUGCUGCUGGGCUGCCCUGUGAGGCUCCGGAGACAUCUGAUGAGAUGCAUUGUUUUUUCCAAGUUUUUCUCACUCCUGUGUUCUUUCUUCCCCUUUGUAUUUGUAUCUAGUGGCUGCUAUCAGUGAUUUUGAAGGAACUCUUGUUCUGGACUGAAUAUGCAGAAGCAAAUCCCAACAGCACACACAGGCAACAUUCCUGUAUUACACCCCCAUCAUCAAGCCCAGAUGCUCUGGUGGAGUGCAGAUGUCCCCCAGAGGUCCAGUCAAAUGCACUGAAGUGACAGAGAAUCUGCUGCAUCCUCAGCCAUGAUAACCAACAGAUACAUGAGCUGCCUGGCAGAGGAGCAGGCAGAGCUCUCCCAGGACUGCCCACAAUGUCUGUGUUCCUUGACGGGUCAUCGAGGUUUGGGUUCUGGUUAGCCCUCUUCAAGCAACUCCUGCGGCUGCAGAAAGAAGCAAUCUGAGUCCAGCCAAGGUUUUCCUUAAAUACCAACCCUGCUAUGUGGGAGGCUCUGAAUCAAGUAAGAUAGAUGAUUUUAAUUUCCAUGUUCUCAGUGUAACACUUGGGGUCAAUGUUUGCAUACUUAUCAUAGGCAGUUUACAAUUGACAACCACUGUAAUUGUUCAACUUUUCUUUGGUGAAGACCUGAAUGACUAUUAUGCACUGUAUUUAUUAUGCCACACGCUAAAAUAUAGAUGAUUGAUUAUUCCAUUACUCUAUUGACCAAGGCUGUAACAAGGUGUGACAAAUACGCGCCAUUAAGGUCCAGAACCAAGUGAAGAAGGUAGCGCAGCCAAGCAGGAGAAUCGUAACGCGUGCCAUACAGGAGAGCUUCAGCAGACUCUCAGGACGGUGUGUUUAAAAGACUUUAUCUGAAUGAAUGCUCUUCAUUUCUGCUAGGCACUUCCUGAGCAUAAAAAAAAGGAUAACAGGUCCUCAUCUGAAAAGCUUAGGGUAUGAUUGAGAGCCCACUGGAGCCAGAGGAAAUUCUUCCGAUGACUUAUUGGGCUUUGGCAGGGUCCUGAGGGUAAUCUCUGUGUUUACCUCACUGAGAGUUGUGUCAGAACCUGAAAAAAUCACCAUUCGUUAACAACAUUAAAAUGUGCAGGAAAAAAAGUGUCUGCCAUCACUGAUACAGUGCAUUAACGUGAGCUAUGUGCACGUAUCACGGGGACUCACAGUUGCGAUGUGAAAAAUCCCAUCUUUUAAAGCUCUUUGUCUUCAGCUUGGUAUUUGAAAUGUGUAAUUUAAUUAUCUUUGAACUCCUUUGUUCCUCCUUAAAACAAAUCAUGUUCAGUUUUCUUUUUAAAUAUCAUGCAGUGAUGGACACAGCACAAGGGAUCAUGGUAACAAAAUGGUGUUGAACAGCUACUGGAAAUUAGUAGUAAUAAACAAUGCAUUUGCUACCAGCCUGUCACAUUAAUUAGUCUUCAGAAUGUGUCAGUGCUUUUCAUUUGCAUUUAACGUUGCCUGAGCUUACUGCCAAUUAAAUACAAUGUUGUUAUCAAAUCAGCUUGCACGUGAUUACACUGGAUUAAUGUGGUUAUUUUCUUUGAUCCACUAUAAUUAAAAAUCACAGUAGUGAUUUUAAACUAGUGUAAAAAAUGUAAUCAGACUACAUACACAGCUCCCUUUUUCUUCUAAUUUACUUUAAUAAUACUCACCUCUAAUUAACAGUUCCUGUUAAUUAAAGAAAGAGUCCUUUGCCCUGUUUAGGAGGGGAACUCCUUGGAGCUUGGAGGGGAACACUGCAUUUUGCAAGAGCUGGGGGCUAGCCCCACAUGUACCUGCACUGUCUUUGCCCUCUGAUUGUUACCAAACAGGAUCAGUACUCAAAUUCUAGGGGAGAAAAAUGGGCAGCCACAACCAUCUUCUGCUGAGAAGAUCCGACCAGCUGAGUGUCAGCCCUGGAGCCCUAUUCUGCCCAGCCCAGCUUCUCAGGAUCCAGCUUUUCACUGAGCACUUGGUUUUGGGUCCUGCCUGUCAGCAGCGGUAAGGAGCAGGCAAAAUGCCACAGCCCCAAACAGAAGGAUGCCUGCUUCUCUGCUGCUGACAGACAGGACCCAGACAGCAGAGAGGCUGGAGGAGGCUGCUUUUCUGCUGGAGCAGAGAGAAGUAAUUAGUCAAAUCACUGCAGCGCGGAGAGGGACGCUGGCCCAUCUCCCAUCAGACAGCAAAUGACUCAUUGCAUGACAACUUCAGUAAAGGGAUAUUGUUGGGUUGGUUUUUUGUUGUUGUUGUUGUUGUUCUUCUUCUCUGUUCCCCUGUUCCACUUUAGCAGGAAAACAAAGAGCUGAAUUUUCCAAAAGGCCACCAGGGCUCUUGUGUGGGAGCUUAGCCUCCCAGGUCUCCUAAGGCCACUGAGAAAGUCACUCUUGGAAUAAAUGUCAUCUACCCACAUAGGGGUGGAGACAAAAAGCAUGGCUGCCCCUUCCAGGUGUGGUGACCUGGAGAGCAGAAAGGAAGGAGCCUUCAUCAGAAGUCCUCCACAGGUUCUGAGACAUGCAAUGGUGGUGAAGAGGAAAGCCCUGGAUGGAUGUAUUUAUACAAUGUGUGGACGUAGCUGUGCUGGAUCCUGCAGGAAAAAGGCAGCCCUGGCAGCUCACCACCUCUGCACACCAACACACCAGCCACAGGAGUAGCUCACAGCUGUGGAGCACUGCUGGAUGGAAGAGUAAGAAGAAACCAAUGGAGACGUGCCUUCGUACUCGCUGCAUCAUGUCGAAGUAAGGGAGGUCAAGCUUGUGAAACAUGCUUGAAAAACUGAUGCACCAAAGGGAUACUUCAGUCUUCCUGAAUGUGACCACAAGCCCUUUGCAUAGCACUUCAAUUUCAGAGAUGUACUGGAGGUUUUCUCACAAUCUUGGUUCCACCCAGCAGCUGCAUGAGGUAGGCUCACAUUUAACAGAAUCUUCUGUUGUGGACAAAGGACCCUCCCUUCCUCCCCCCCUCCCUUCCUUCCCUGCCUCAGCCCCUCCCCCUCUUCUUUCCCUUCCUCCUCCUACCCACCCUCUUUCUUGCCUGCCUGUUUUCCUUCCCUCCCUUCCUCCGUUACACACACUUACCCCCUGCUUACUUGGUCCUGAGGGGUCCCUGGUGAAGAGCAGGUAUGGUGUUGACAUCACACUGGGCUCAGCUCCUUCUUGUCCUCAACUGCAAUGAGACUCCUCACAGUUGUUCUUGCUAUGCUUCUUUUCUGAGGAAUACUAAUUCCUCAUUCUGUGUUAUUUUCUACUAUGUCUCUAUUUCCCCCCCAUCCAUCUUAAGAGUGCCAAUGAUUACUAUCACAUUGCUCUGCUGUGUCUAUAUAAUUAGAGCAGUUGGCUCAAGUAAUUACUUUUUGCUUCCUUCAGUUCACUCCUCUACUCUGCACUAGCUUUUCUUCAUUUCAGCCUCUUUGGAGAAAGAUUUCAAAGCAGGGUGUGUGGCUUUUAACUCCCUACAGCCCAUUGAAUCGGAGGCCACCGGCUGCUAAACUCUCUGAAACCUCUGAGUUUGCUAAAAAUGCUGAAGCAGACUUCUCUCUCCUGCUCUCUUAUCCAUGGUCAAAGCGUGACCCUGCAGGACAGACUAUUUUGGAACAUUUGGAACAGUGAGCACACUGUGCUGCCAGGCACGCAAGGCACUGCCUGACUCUGGCUUGGACCUGACCCUAAAAUCCCCCAGUGCUCAAGUAAACCCUGCACCUUACAUCCCUUCUGGGUGGCUCUUAUGGAAGGACUUGGCACGCACAAGGGACACAGAAGAUUUGGCUGUAGCAUCUCCACAAUUCAAGAAGUGACAUCGAACUUCAACUUGGAUAUCUCCAACAAUUUGGGUAGUGAUUCAGCAAUGGCUACUCAACCCACCAAAGAGGGAUCAACACCAGCAUAUGCAGCAGGAAAAGAAUCAGGAGCUUCUUGCCUUGUUCAAGUGUUUCUUAAGAAAGUCAUCUAAAAGUCCUUAUUGAUCAGAUAAUCUAUAAAUACAGAUAAAAAAGUGUGCCUGCGCCUAAUCAAGUCACGCAGGAGUUGUGACAGUUGGUGAAGGACUUGUGAUAAGUGUAAGGGCAGCAAGAAAGGCUCAGAGACACUGCUCAGUCUGUCCAGGCUGAUCUAGCUGAGCUGGGAUUCCUUGAACAUAACACUUAAGUAGAAAAAUAAUGCAUGAGGCCUUACAAAUUGCCAUCUGUUGGCUCCAGAACACACACAUUCAGCUCUUUCUGACUUUCCCUGUGCUGCAUGAAAAAGCUCAAGUCAAAUAGUGUCCAGGUAAACUUAUAAAUGGCAAAAUAAAUCCUUUGUAGGUGAAAAACAAAAAUAGCUUUGAAGGAGAACGCAUAUAACCUUGCUAAUUUGCCAAGGGUUUUCAAUCUUCAUCAUUUUAGAAGCAAGGUUAAGACAGUAAGUAAAGGUUGAGAAAGUCAGAAGAUGCUCAGAUAUACCUAUAUCAGAGGUUCGGAGUUUUAAACCUCAGAAGCAAAACAAUGUCAGGGAGAACAGAUUGACAGUGAUGCCUUGCAUUGGGAACCAAGGGUUAGAAGGACUGUUUGUACCAAGUAAAAUACACUCAUGAUAAUGAUACUGCUGAGAUUUAAUUUACCAGCCUGUUCUAGGAAAGGUAAUGACCUUAAUAUCUCAGAGAACUUAUCAAGAGGUCAUCCAUGCAGAGACACACUGAUUUAUUUUCAUAAUAAAUGGAAAUAGAAGUCUUGUUGCAUGUAUAAAUUCAUUCCUGCAAGCCAAUUCCAUCUAGAAAGCUUUGUGGUUAGUAUCAGGAUAUCCUAAGAACAUAUUAUUGAUAUGUGGGUGUCUAAUUCCAACCCCCUUGAGAACCUCCCCAUAAAUGUACUUCAAAUUCAUUUCUAAACAAACCAAAAAAACCACCUAAAUCCCAGACCUACCCACCAUAUAAUGGGGAACAUCACCACACUGGAAAAGAGAUAUGCUAUUUUAUUCUAAGUACUAUUCAUCUGCCUCUGCACCAUGGAUGAGGCUCUACACAAUGCCUCUGUUGGUAGAGAAGACCACCUGCAUAUGCAUUACCCAAGGAUAUGGUCUUUCUGCCUGAGUCGCACAUUUUUGAGAUACAGAGAAGUGGGUAUAUACAAACAAACCCCACAGUCACAGUAGAAACUUGACUGUGUAGCCCAAACCCUAUUUCUGGCCCUCGAUGUCACUGUGUCCCCAGCUGGAUCAGUCCCAGGUGCUGAGGACAAUCUUCCCCUGCUCAUGGGGAUGACAUGCGUUACACAGCUUUCUCUGUGCCAGCCCACAGAGGUGCUGGCAUGGUUAAUUUGUCUGGAGAAGCUGGUGUUUUUGCUGCAGUCAUCACACAAGUGAAAAACAGCAAGGAGAGAGUCCAAAAAACCAGUUGAAAUGGAGAAGACAGAAUGGCAGAGAAGAUAAAGUUGUCACGCACAGGUGCCACGUGUAUGCCAUGUCAUUUAGCUCAAGAUUUUUCAAGCUGGGCUGCAAGCAGUGAGUCACAGGCAGAGAGAAGGGAUAUUUAUGGGAUUUUAGUUCUUCCGAGGAAAAAAUAUGAAAGUCAGAAAUGACAGAGAAAUGAGAGUGCUGGAUGGUGGCAAACAACAUAUGGGGAACAAGGGAGAGGGAGCUUUUGGCAUCACUGCCACAGCAUACAUCCCAGCGUAACUCAUAGCGUACCCCGGGGGCCAGUUCAUUUCUAUGGAAAGAAUCUGACUUCUGGGACUCCAGGUACAAAAUGAAAACCUUUCUGUUUCUAGAGCACCAAUGUUAGUCUUUGCCAAGUGUUUCCUUUUUUCUAUUCCUCCCUACACAUAUUUCUUUUCCUUAAGGCCACAGGAAUUUAGCAGAACAGGCUGUUUUCCAGCAGGCUUAAUUUUGAACGUUGGAUUGAUCAGAUGAUUUAAGAUGUGCAGGAGGAAGUAAGCAAGCAUUUGCACAUACCACUCUACAGCCUGAAUUCUGCUGGGAUCUUUAACGUGUAGGUGCAUGUGUGUAUCUGGCUGUACACAAGCACAGCUGUUUUUAACUCAGUGCCCAGGUAUCGUGGUGGCUGUUUUCUGUUCGAAAAGCAGGAGAUGUUAGGACAAGCAUUUGUCUGGUGUAUCUACUGAUGGUUCUGACUUCCAGGUGUGUUAUUCUUUUGCCCUCUGGGAACUAAAAGCUCUAAGAUGGUGCUUACUUGUUCAAGAAGGAGGACGUCAUUUUAGCCACUGUUGGAGCACUGUGUCCAUUUUGAAACAACACAAACCUAAGAGCUCUCAUUUCUUUUGUUCCAUUCCACACAGUCCUGUGUGUCCUUCAGAUACCUACAGAGGACUGAACAGUUCUGGGUGUUGCAGGAGUAAGUCUGAAUGUUGAC